rnacentral:rRNA from 1 species
AUUGAACGCUGCGGCAGGCUUAACACAUGCAAGUCGAGCGAGCGGCGGUCGGGGGCGUAAUGCUUAGGAAUCUGCCUAUUAGUGGGGGACAACAUUUCGAACGGGAUGCUAAUACCGCAUACUAAUAGAUGAGCAUAAGUCGGAUUAGGUUGUUGGUGGGGUAAAGGCCUACCAAGGCGACGAUCUGUAGCGGGUCUGAGAGGAUGAUCCGCCAAACUGGGACUGAGACACGGCCCCGAAUCCUACGGGAGGCAGCAGUGGGGAAUAAUGGACAAUGGGGUGAACGCUGAUCCAGGCAUGCCGCGUGUGUGAAGAAGGCCUUAUGGUUUUAAAGCACUUUUAGCGAGGAGGCGUUACUCGCAGAAUAAGCACCGGCUAACUCUGUGCCAGCAGCCGCGGUAAUAC